AGGACGAACGCUGGCGGCAUGCCUAACACAUGCAAGUCGAACGGAGUUAAGAGAGCUUGCUCUUUAACUAGUGGCGGACGGGUGAGUAACGCGUGAGCAAUCUGCCUUUCAGGUGGGAAUAAUGUUCUGAAAAGAGCACUAAUACCGCAUAACGUAUAAUCGCCGCAUGACGGAUAUACCAAAGAUUUAUCGCUGAGAGAUGAGCUCGCGUCCGAUUAGCCGGUUGGUGGGGUAACGGCCUACCAAAGCUACGAUCGGUAGCCGGACUGAGAGGUUGAACGGCCACAUUGGGACUGAGACACGGCCCAGACUCCUACGGGAGGCAGCAGUGGGGGAUAUUGCGCAAUGGGGGAAACCCUGACGCAGCAAUGCCGCGUGAAGGAUGAAGGUCUUCGGAUUGUAAACUUCUUUUGUCAGGGACGAAAAUGACGGUACCUGACGAAUAAGCUCCGGCUAACUACGUGCCAGCCGCUGC
rnacentral:rRNA from 1 species